rnacentral:rRNA from 1 species
AGAAUCAACGCUGGCGGCGUGCCUAACACAUGCAAGUCGCACGAGAAAGGGGCUUCGGCCCUGAGUAAAGUGGCGCACGGGUGAGUAACACGUGAAUAAUCUACCUCUGAGUGGGGAAUAACUGAGAGAAAUCUUAGCUAAUGCCGCAUAAUACUUACGAGUCAAAGCAGCAAUGCGCUUGGAGAGGAGUUCGCGGCCGAUUAGUUAGUUGGCGGGGUAAUGGCCCACCAAGACGAUGAUCGGUA